CGCGGUUCAACCUCCCUCUCCCCUCCCGCGGGUUUUCCAGAUGCUUCCCUGGCCUUCCAACACGCAUGCGUCGAGGCCUGACGCCGCGACACGUCUCUCGGCCGCGGGCCUAUUAUAAGUGAAGAAGCACGCCCAGAACAGCUGCUCCAUUUCCCGUCUGCUGUCGGCAUCGUCACCCCUUUCGGUCGCGUCCACCUGCUCGCUUCAGUUCGUCCAGCUUCCAAGAGCAGCUCAAGCCUCGCCGGAAAGGGCACGAUGAGUGAUCCCAAGUACGCCUAUCCCUACCCUGCACAAGGUUACUACCAGGGGCCGUACCAGGGACCGCCGGUGAUGGCGCCGCCGCAGUACGCCGCGCCGCCGCCCAGGAGGGAGCCGAGCUUCCUUGAAGGCUGCCUUGCCGCGCUUUGCUGCUGCUGCUUGAUCGACGAGUGCUGCUGCGACCCAUCCAUCAUCUUCGUCAGCUAGACUACACAAGGCUAGAAGGGAGGGGAUCCGAUCGGCCCGGCCUUGCUACCUCUUGCUCUUGCGUUGUGUACACUGUACAGACAGGAGCGGCUUCAGCUCCAUCCGGAUCGAGGAAGAACCUAUUGACAACGAUAUAUAUAUGUAUGUAUAUAUGUAUCUAGUGCUACUUUAUUCCAGCAAACCUCCAGCUUGAGCUCAUGUAUCUCGGUCGAGUUUAUACUUGAUAGCGAGAGUGCGUGCGUGUGUGAUCUAGCUCUUAUCAUCAUCUAUUCAUCUCCCUGCCUGCGUGUGUGUACGAUCUGCCAUGUUAUUGCUUCUAAUUUGCUGCUGAAUCGAAAAGACUAUUGCCUGGCGUUCA